rnacentral:rRNA from 1 species
AUUGAACGCUGGCGGCAUGCCUUACACAUGCAAGUCGAACGGCAGCACGGGAGCAAUCCUGGAGGCGAGUGGCGAACGGGUGAGUAAUACAUCGGAACGUGCCCAGGAGUGGGGGAUAACCCGGCGAAAGCCGGACUAAUACCGCAUACGACCUACGGGUGAAAGCGGGGGAUCGCAAGACCUCGCGCUAUCGGAGCGGCCGAUGUCAGAUUAGCUAGUUGGUGGGGUAAAGGCCUACCAAGGCGACGAUCUGUAGCUGGUCUGAGAGGACGACCAGCCACACUGGGACUGAGACACGGCCCAGACUCCUACGGGAGGCAGCAGUGGGGAAUUUUGGACAAUGGGCGCAAGCCUGAUCCAGCCAUGCCGCGUGCGGGAAGAAGGCCUUCGGGUUGUAAACCGCUUUUGUCAGGGAAGAAACGCUCCGGGCUAAUACCACGGAGUAAUGACGGUACCUGAAGAAUAAGCACCGGCUAACUACGUG